GGUUGUGGCUCAGGGGUAGAGCACUUGCCUAGCAUGCGCGAGGCACUGGGUUCAAUCCCUGGCACCA
rnacentral:tRNA from 1 species